GAUCAUGGCUCAGGACGAACGCUGGCGGCGUGCAUAACACAUGCAAGUCGAGCGAAGUGCUUAUCAUGAAAUCUUCGGAUUGAUUGAUAAACCACUUAGCGGCGGAUGGGGUGAGUAACGCGUGAGGAACCUGCCUUCUACAAGGGGAUAGCCUCGGGAAACCGGGAUUAAUACCCUAUGAUGCUUAAUAGCCACAUGACUAUUAAGUUAAAGCAAAUUAGCGGUAGUAGAUGGCCUCGCGUCCCAUUAGCUAGUUGGUAAGGUAAUGGCUUACCAAGGCUGCGAUGGGUAGCCGGCUUGAGAGAGUGACCGGCCACACUGGAACUGAGACACGGUCCAGACUCCUACGGGAGGCAGCAGUGGGGAAUAUUGCACAAUGGAGGGAAAAACCUCUGAUGGAGCGACGCCGCGUGAGCGAUGAAGGCUUUCGGGUCGUAAAGUUCUGUCCUAGGGGACGAUAAUGACGGUACCCUAGGAGGAAGCCCCGGCUAACUACGUGCCAGCCGCAGC
rnacentral:rRNA from 1 species